rnacentral:lncRNA from 1 species
GGUGGUGAUAAUAAUUAUGAACCUGCCCUGAAAAUUCAGGAGGUAUGGUUGCUAUUAAUCACGCACCCAACCCUUAGAGUCACCAAUUGUUUCAAAUUUCAGGACUCACGAGAAAGCAUUUCCUUAUUUUGACCAGAUUUUCUUGUUGGCAAAUUGAUGGAUGUUUUCUCUUUCAAGUAGUCACUGCUAAUCUGUCUGCCUGUCAUGGAGCUUAGUGGUUUCAACUUCAGAUUUCAUUUCUCAGCCUUUUUUCUUGUUAAGCUACAUGCUUUUCUGUCUUAGCUAAGGAUGCUUGACAAGUACUUUGCCAAAACAUGCAGUGAAAUGAACACACCCUCAUCUUCAGAGAAAGAACACUCCUUUUUAUUCCACGGAAACCAUAAUUCCCAAGCCAGUGAGAUUAUCUGUGGUCUUUUCUCUUUAUCCCCUCCUUUUGCCCUUUAGGGGAGAGAAGAGUGUGGAGGGAGGAAUCGGGGAAGCCCAGUGCCGUACUGAUGCUCUGGACUUUGUUUUUGGAGGUAGCCUGUGAUGCAGGGCAGAAAAGAGCUGAUGCCUUGGAGAGAGACUGGGAGAGGCUGGAGUUAAUAGAGGUGCCCACGCACCCAAAGGGCCAGCUCCUGCAUUUUUUCACUUCACCGAUGCCAAAGCCACUUUGCCCACCUUUGCAGCAGACGCAGGGAAUUAACUAUCUCAAGAAGUGGCCCUUAGUUAUUAACUGAUGGCAGCUGGUCCCAGGGUAUCCAAGAAGCUGUCAUCCAGGUCUUCUCCAAUGAAGCUACAACAACCCACAGAGCCAGCAGGGGAACCUACACCUUCGAUGUCAUAUAUGAGCAAACAGUCAUUAGAUGGGCGUCCUUCAUCUUCAUCUGCAUGGACUUAUUUAUAAUUGUGUACUUUGGACAUAAAACCAUACACAAAAAAAUCACAUGAAUUGGUUUCGAGGAGGAGCCAAGAUGGCCGAAUAGGAACAGCUCUGGUCUACAGCUCCCAGCGUGAGCGACGCAGAAGACGGGUGAUUUCUGCAUUUCCAUCUGAGAUGGAGUGAAUAUGAUGAUUCUGUGAAGGUUUAUUGCAACAUGACUUUUUCAGCACAGCAACAGGAAAAUUUGACUCUGGGUCUGUUCUACAAAAUUAAAGCUUUCUCAGCACAAAAAACAGCAUAGACUGUGAGUGAUGGCGGCCAUCUUGGUUCAUGUGUAAAGACUGAAUUUCAGUGACUACCAACGGCUAUUUCUUAGAAUGUGGCACUUACCCUGGGUUCAGGCUGUGGUCCUUCUACUGCCCAUGAAUGAAUUGCUCCAUCUGAACAUUCGGGAACAGGCUCAAAGCCAGCUGCACUACGAGGAGCACCUCCACAAUCACAACAGAUCAUCAAAAAUGGGACCACUGGUGGUGGAGGGAUAGUAAUACUAGAGUUAGCACUGGGUGCAAAUAAAAAACAAAACAACCUGAUUUUUUAUGGUUAAAUUUGAAUUCGUAAUAUAAUUCUGGUUGGUUCUAAAAUUAUGAAAGUUUCAGAAUACAAGCUGAAUGAUGGUCAGACCCCAAAGUAAAUGGGAGCUUCUGUAUAUUAGACUGCAGUCAAUUUUAGUUUAUUUUAUAGUAUUAAAAAUUACAAAUAGUGGGCCUGGCAUGGUGGCUCACACCUGUAAUUCCAGCACUUUGGGAGGUGGAAGUGGGUGGAUCACUAGAGCCCAGGAGCUUGAGACAAGCCUGAGCAACAUGGUGAAACCCUAUCUCUACCAAAAAAUACAAAAAUUAGGCGUGUAUGGGGGCUUUUGCCUGCAGUCUUAGCUACUCUGGAGGCUGAGGUGGGAGGAUGGCUUGAGCCAGGGAGGUUGAGGCUGCUCAACCAGGGAGGUGGGCGGUGGUUGUGCCACUGCACUCCAGCCUGAGUGACAGAGUGAGACCCUCUCUCAAAAAAAAAAAAAAAAAAAUCACAGAUAGUAUUACAUUAUUAAAACCGAUUAAUCUUUCCAUGUCAUUAUUUAGGAAAAUAUUAAAGGAGAGAACAAGGAAAGAUGAAAAGUCGUGGGAUGCUCGUGAAUUAAGAAACAACCAAAAAUGCCAAAUAUUGAGACUCUUGAAAUCAAAUUAAGUAUGAUCUGAGAUUAAGAACUUCUGAGAAGAAUUUAAGCAUGAACAUAUAUAUUGACAUGAAGUCCACUUACAAUGAAGAAAGGAGUGACCUCUCGAUCAACUAUGGAUGUUAUAUUAAUUUCACCAGUUUUCUGAUUAAUGACAAAGAUCCCAUAUGGUGGCUGAUCAAUUCCUACUCCAGAGAUGCGGGUCUGUGCUUGCACUGGAGCUACAGAAGGAAACUCUUUGCCCUCUUAAGGAGUUUAUCAAUGUUGUCAUCAUGCAACUUUAAUCUUCAAUUUGUUUUAAAUGUAAAGUUUUCGAAGAAAGUAGAUUUAUUUAGGUGACAAGAGUUAUCUGGGUUUGAGUGGAAGCUCUGAAUUCUGAAAAUGGGAAGGGUGUAUUAGCAGAAAAGGAAGGAGACCACGCGAAUAAAUGGUUAUAGAAACCAGAACUCUUUCUUUGAAAUAAAAUAUUGUUUGGCUGUAA